rnacentral:lncRNA from 1 species
CUCUGUUUGAGAGUCUCCAUAUAGUUGUGGAUGUAAUCGGUUUAUGAAUUUAAGCAACUAUCACUAGAAUUUCAUUGAGUAAUUACUUUGGGGAAAUAAUUUUCAUACUAUAUUUUAUAUGGGUAUAAAUACAGGAACAGUGAGUGAGAUAAGGAUUGUUUUGAUCAUUCUUUCUGUGCCUCACCAGGAAAAGCCCUGAGAGAGAACGAAGUCUCUGUUCAGAGAAUGGGAAUGCCACGGCAUUGCACACAAAGGCGCAAAGAAGGAACAAUCAGGCAAGCUAGAAGUUUAAAAAGGGUGUUUUCCUCAUGGAUUAUUGAUAAAUUGACAUUUUUAAUCCCAGUGAGACACAAGGCACUGUUCUGGUGUCCUUCCAGGAACAGGAUCUGUUCUUCUGUGCCCUCCAGCACUGAGAAUUCCUACCCAGCCUCGUGCUCAGUGCCUGGAAAAGCCAGGAAAAACACAUGAAUUCCUGGCUGGAGCCUCUGGGGAAGCCUGGACAGGCACAGCCCAGCCAGGAACAGGUUAAAGUCUGUGUAGCUGGUGGAAUUCAGAGGAAAUCCUUUGUGCAAGCAAACCCAGCUUCCUCCUGUGUGUUCUUUAAUGAUCCCUUAAGAGUUAAACAAAAGAGUGACUGGUGCCUUUUAAACACCAGUGACCUUUCUCAUGGUUCUUCCUCUCAGAUCCUUCCAGGUCCUGGAAGAUCACACUGAGCUCACCCCAAAGCUUCUCCUGCCCAGGUGAGCGAUGCCAGCUGUGCCAGCCUUUCCUCCAGCAGAGCUGCUCCAUCCUCUGCUCAUCCUGGAGCCUCUCUGGGCUCUGCAGCAGCUCCAGCUCCUGGGCUGGGGCAGAGCUGGGGCAGAUCUGCAGGUGGGGCAGAGUUCCCUCCUCCCCUCCCCUCCCUGCUGCCCACGCUUUCCCCUCAGCCUGAAAUUCUUGUUUGUUAAAACCUCUGCUUCUGCUUCCAAGUGCUGAUUCCAGCCAGGAGGAGAUCCAGGUGCUGAGGGUGGCACUUGUCACCUCCUGCCAGUUGUGGCAGAGUUGUGACAAAGCAUCACCUCUGCCUUUCUUUGUGGGACACGGCUCCUGGGAGUGGUGGGAGGAGGUCUGAGCAGGGCUGCCUGUCCUGGAAACCACUGCUGGCUCUGCCAGGGCUCAGGACUUAGGGAGCUUUAACCCUUGGCCUCCUGGCCAGAUGGCCCAGCGAGGGUGUCCCUGAGCAGGGGGCUGCAGGCAGGGCC